UACGGGGGGGGGCAAGCGUUGUUCGGAAUUACUGGGCGGAAAGGGCUCGUAGGCGGCCAACUAAGUCGGAUGUGAAAUCCCCAGGCUCAACUUGGGAACUGCAUCCGAUACUGGAUGGCUUGAAUUCGGGAGAGGGAUGCAGAAUUCCAGGUGUAGCGGUGAAAUGCGUAGAUAUCUGGAGGAAUACCGGUGGCGAAGGCGGCAUCCUGGACCGACAUUGACGCUGAGGAGCGAAAGCUAGGGGAGCAAACGGG
rnacentral:rRNA from 1 species